AACGUAGGACGCAAGCGUUAUCCGGAGUUACUGGGCGUAAAGGGCGUGUAGGCGGCUGUUCAAGUUCGUCGUGAAAGACCCCGGCUCAACCGGGGGUGGUCGAGGGAGACUGAACAGCUGGAGGACGGUAGAGGGACAGGGAAUUCAGGGUGUAGUGGUGAAAUGCUUAGAGAUCCGGAGGAAAGCCAUUGGCGAAGGCGCUGUCCUGGGCCGCCCCUGACGCUGAGACGCGAUAGCAUGGGGUGCGCACGGG
rnacentral:rRNA from 1 species